GCUGGGUAUACACCUGUAGCCCCAGCUACUCAGAACACUGAGGUUGGAGGAUUGCUUGAGCCCAGGAUUCUGGGCUGUAAUGUGCUAUGCCAAUUGGGUGUCUGCACCAAGUCUACCAUUAAUAUGAUGGCCUCCCAAGAGCAGAGGACCACCAGGUUGCCUAAGGAGGGAUGAACAAGCCUAAGUUAGAAAUGGAGCAGGUUAAAACUCCCAGGCUGAUCAACAGUAAGAUUAAGCCUAUUAAUAAGCAUUGCACUCCAGCCUGGGCAACAUAGCAAGAUUCUGUCUCUU
rfam:Otolemur garnettii contig059576, whole genome shotgun sequence.